ensembl:snoRNA small nucleolar RNA SNORA40
AACAAUUGGGGGUAUUUGUAUGAAGCAGUACAAAAAGAUGUAGUCAGUUGCAAAAUCAAUGCUCGUUUGCAACCCAGAACUCAUUGUUAGGUGUGAGUUCUGACCCACACAAGAAGGACCACA